UACGUAGGGUGCAAGCGUUGUCCGGAAUUAUUGGGCGUAAAGAGCUCGUAGGCGGUUUGUCGCGUCUGCUGUGAAAACUCGGGGCUUAACUCCGGGCCUGCAGUGGGUACGGGCAGACUAGAGUACUGCAGGGGAGACUGGAAUUCCUGGUGUAGCGGUGAAAUGCGCAGAUAUCAGGAGGAACACCGGUGGCGAAGGCGGGUCUCUGGGCAGUAACUGACGCUGAGGAGCGAAAGCGUGGGGAGCGAACAGG
rnacentral:rRNA from 1 species